UGGGGAAUAUUGCGCAAUGGGCGAAAGCCUGACGCAGCAACGCCGCGUGAGUGAUGAAGGCCUUCGGGUCGUAAAGCUCUGUCGGAGGGAACGAAUGCUCCUGAAGUUAACAGCCUCAGGAGGUGACGGUACCCUCAAAGGAAGCACCGGCUAACUCUGUGCCAGCAGCCGCGGUAAUACAGAGGGUGCAAGCGUUGUUCGGAAUCAUUGGGCGUAAAGGGCGCGUAGGCGGCAUGACAAGUCACUUGUGAAAUCUCUGGGCUUAACCCAGAACGGCCAAGUGAUACUGUCGCGCUAGAGUGCAGAAGGGGCAAUCGGAAUUCUUGGUGUAGCGGUGAAAUGCGUAGAUAUCAAGAGGAACACCUGAGGUGAAGACGGGUUGCUGGGCUGACACUGACGCUGAGGCGCGAAAGCCAGGGGAGCAAACGGGAUUAGAUACCCCAGUAGUCCCUGAGCGGGCUGGCAAGGCGCAU
rnacentral:rRNA from 1 species